rnacentral:rRNA from 1 species
AGCAGCCGCGGUAAUUCCAGCUCCAAUAGCGUAUAUUAAAGUUGUUGCAGUUAAAAAGCUCGUAGUUGAAUUUCGGGAUUAGUGCGCUGGUCAUGCCUUUGGUAUGUACCGGUGUUACUGAUUUCUACCUUCUGAAGAACCGUUAUGUCAUUUAUUUGGUGUGGCGGGGAAUCAGGACUGUUACUUUGAAAAAAUUAGAGUGUUUAAAGCAGGCUCGCGCUUGAAUACAUUAGCAUGGAAUAAUGAAAUAGGACGUUUGACCCUAUUUUGUUGGUUUCUAGGUAUCGACGUAAUGAUUAAUAGGGAUAGUUGGGGGCAUUAGUAUUCAAUUGUCAGAGGUGAAAUUCUUGGAUUUAUGAAGCUAACUACUGCGAAAGCAUUUGCCAAGGAUGUUUUCAUUAAUCAAGAACGGAAGUUAGGGAUCGAAGACGAUCAGAUACGUCGUAGUCUUAACCAUAGACUAUGCCGAUAGGGAUCGGAUGAUGUUAUUUUAAUGUACU